CAAGUACUUCCUCCGUUCGGAAUUACUUGUCGUAGAAGUGGAUGUAUCUAGACGUAUUUUAGUUCUAGAUACAUCCAUUUCCGAGACAAGUAAUUCCGAACGGAGGGAGUAGAAC
rnacentral:pre_miRNA from 1 species